rnacentral:rRNA from 1 species
AGAAUCAACGCUGGCGGCGUGCCUAACACAUGCAAGUCGAACGAGAAAGUGGAGCAAUCCAUUAGUAAAGUGGCGCACGGGUGAGUAACACGUGACUAGCCUACCCUUGAGUGGGGGAUAACCUAGGGAAACCUGGGCUAAUACCGCAUAAUACCUUCGGGUCAAAGGAGCAAUUCGCUUAAGGAGGGGGUCGCGGCCGAUUAGUUAGUUGGCGGGGUAAUGGCCCACCAAGACGAUGAUCGGUAUCC